ACACUCCUGCGGGAGGCAGCAGUGGGGAAUUUUGGACAAUGGGCGAAAGCCUGAUCCAGCAAUGCCGCGUGCAGGAUGAAGGCCUUCGGGUUGUAAACUGCUUUUGUACGGAACGAAAAAGCUCCUUCUAAUACAGGGGGCCCAUGACGGUACCGUAAGAAUAAGCACCGGCUAACUACGUGCCAGCAGCCGCGGUAAUACGUAGGGUGCGAGCGUUAAUCGGAAUUACUGGGCGUAAAGCGUGCGCAGGCGGUUAUGUAAGACAGAUGUGAAAUCCCCGGGCUCAACCUGGGAACUGCAUUUGUGACUGCAUGGCUAGAGUACGGUAGAGGGGGAUGGAAUUCCGCGUGUAGCAGUGAAAUGCGUAGAUAUGCGGAGGAACACCGAUGGCGAAGGCAAUCCCCUGGACCUGUACUGACGCUCAUGCACGAAAGCGUGGGGAGCAAACAGGAUUAGAUACCCGAGUAGUCCCAUG
rnacentral:rRNA from 1 species